AGUCCAUGCCGUAAACGAUGAGUGCUAAGUGUUGGAGGGUUUCCGCCCUUCAGUGCUGCAGCUAACGCAUUAAGCACUCCGCCUGGGGAGUACGACCGCAAGGUUGAAACUCAAAGGAAUUGACGGGGGCCCGCACAAGCGGUGGAGCAUGUGGUUUAAUUCGAUGCUACGCGAAGAACCUUACCAGGUCUUGACAUCUUCUGCUAACCUAAGAGAUUAGGCGUUCCCUUCGGGGACGGAAUGACAGGUGGUGCAUGGUUGUCGUCAGCUCGUGUCGUGAGAUGUUGGGUUAAGUCCCGCAACGAGCGCAACCCUUAUUGUCAGUUGCCAGCAUUUAGUUGGGCACUCUGGCGAGACUGCCGGUGACAAACCGGAGGAAGGUGGGGAUGACGUCAAAUCAUCAUGCCCCUUAUGACCUGGGCUACACACGUGCUACAAUGGACGGUACAACGAGUCGCGAAACCGCGAGGUCAAGCUAAUCUCUUAAAGCCGUUCUCAGUUCGGAUUGUAGGCUGCAACUCGCCUACAUGAAGUUGGAAUCGCUAGUAAUCGUGGAUCAGCAUGCCACGGUGAAUACGUUCCCGGGCCUUGUACACACCGCCCGUCACACCAUGAGAGUUUGUAACACCCAAAGCCGGUGAGGUAACCUUCGGGGGCCAGCCGUCUAAGGUGGGACAGAUGAUUAGGGUGAAGUCGUAACAAGGUAGCCGUAGGAGAACCUGCGGCUG
rnacentral:rRNA from 1 species